AUUGAACGCUGGCGGCAUGCUUUACACAUGCAAGUCGAACGGUAACAGGGAGCUUGCUCCGCUGACGAGUGGCGAACGGGUGAGUAAUGCAUCGGAACGUACCCAGUCGUGGGGGAUAACGUAGCGAAAGUUACGCUAAUACCGCAUACGUCCUGAGGGAGAAAGCGGGGGACCGUAAGGCCUCGCGCGAUUGGAGCGGCCGAUGUCGGAUUAGCUAGUUGGUGGGGUAAAGGCCUACCAAGGCGACGAUCCGUAGCGGGUCUGAGAGGAUGAUCCGCCACACUGGGACUGAGACACGGCCCAGACUCCUACGGGAGGCAGCAGUGGGGAAUUUUGGACAAUGGGCGAAAGCCUGAUCCAGCCAUGCCGCGUGCGGGAAGAAGGCCUCGG
rnacentral:rRNA from 1 species